rnacentral:rRNA from 1 species
AGCGAACGCUGGCGGCAGGCUUAACACAUGCAAGUCGAGCGGACCUUUCGGGGUCAGCGGCGGACGGGUGAGUAACGCGUGGGAACGUGCCUUCCGGUUCGGAAUAACCCUGGGAAACUAGGGUUAAACCGGGUAAGCCCCUUUUGGGAAAGGUUUACUGCCGGAAGAUCGGCCCGCGGCUGAUUAGCUAGUUGGUGGGGUAACGGCCUACCAAGGCGACGAUCAGUAGCUGGUCUGAGAGGAUGAUCAGCCACACUGGGACUGAGACACGGCCCAGACUCCUACGGGAGGCAGCAGUGGGGAAUAUUGGACAAUGGGCGCAAGCCUGAUCCAGCCAUGCCGCGUGAGUGAUGAAGGCCUUAGGGUUGUAAAGCUCUUUUAUCCGGGACGAUAAUGACGGUACCGGAGGAAUAAGCCCCGGCUAACUUCGUG